UACGGAGGGUGCAAGCGUUAUCCGGAUUUACUGGGUUUAAAGGGUGCGUAGGCGGACUUUUAAGUUAGAUGUGAAAGCUUGCAGCUCAACUGUAAGAUUGCGUUUGAUACUGGAAGUCUUGAAUAUGGUAGAAGUGGGCGGAAUAAAUCAUGUAGCGGUGAAAUGCAUAGAUAUGAUUUAGAACACCAAUUGCGAAGGCAGCUCGCUAUCCCAUUAUUGACGCUGAGGCACGAAAGCGUGGGGAUCAAACAGG
rnacentral:rRNA from 1 species